GACGUAGGGCGCGAGCGUUGUCCGGAUUUAUUGGGCGUAAAGAGCUUGUAGGCGGUUUGUCGCGUCUGCUGUGAAAUUUCGGGGCUCAACCCCGAACUUGCAGUGGGUACGGGCAGACUAGAGUGUGGUAGGGGAGACUGGAAUUCCUGGUGUAGCGGUGAAAUGCGCAGAUAUCAGGAGGAGCACCGAUGGCGAAGGCAGGUCUCUGGGCCACUACUGACGCUGAGAAGCGAAAGCAUGGGGAGCGAACAGG
rnacentral:rRNA from 1 species